rnacentral:rRNA from 1 species
UGGGGGAUAUUGCGCAAUGGGGGCAACCCUGACGCAGCAACGCCGCGUGAAGGAUGAAGGUUUUCGGAUUGUAAACUUCUUUUAUUAAGGACGAAAAUUGACGGUACUUAAUGAAUAAGCUCCGGCUAACUACGUGCCAGCAGCCGCGGUAAUACGUAGGGAGCGAGCGUUGUCCGGAUUUACUGGGUGUAAAGGGUGCGCAGGCGGCGUGCCAAGUCAGCGGUCAAAGUUCCGGGCUCAACCCGGUGAUGCCGUUGAAACUGGUGUGCUUGAGUGCGUGCGAGGGAGGCGGAAUGCGUUGUGUAGCGGUGAAAUGCAUAGAUAUGACGCAGAACUCCGAUUGCGAAGGCAGCUUUCCAGCACGCCACUGACGCUGAGGCACGAAAGCGUGGGGAUCGAACAGGAUUAGAUACCC